CCUACGGGCGGCAGCAGUGGGGAAUAUUGGACAAUGGGCGAAAGCCUGAUCCAGCCAUGCCGCGUGUGUGAAGAAGGCCUUCGGGUUGUAAAGCACUUUCAGUGGGGAAGAAAGCCUUGGGGCUAAUACCCUCGAGGAAGGACAUCACCCACAGAAGAAGCACCGGCUAACUCCGUGCCAGCAGCCGCGGUAAUACGGAGGGUGCGAGCGUUAAUCGGAAUUACUGGGCGUAAAGCGCGCGUAGGCGGUCUGAUAAGCCGGUUGUGAAAGCCCCGGGCUCAACCUGGGAACGGCAUCCGGAACUGUCCGGCUAGAGUGCAGGAGAGGAAGGUAGAAUUCCCGGUGUAGCGGUGAAAUGCGUAGAGAUCGGGAGGAAUACCAGUGGCGAAGGCGGCCUUCUGGACUGACACUGACGCUGAGGUGCGAAAGCGUGGGUAGCAAACAGGAUUAGAUACCCCAGUAGUC
rnacentral:rRNA from 1 species